UACGAACUGCGCAAACGUUAUUCGGAAUCACUGGGCUUACAGGGUGCGUAGGCGGCCAGUCAGGUCCGAUGUGAAAUCCCACAGCUCAACUGUGGAACGGCAUUGGAAACCGAUUGGCUCGAGUGAGCUAGAGGGACACGGAACUUCCGGUGGAGCGGUGAAAUGUGUUGAGAUCGGAAGGAACACCAGAGGCGAAAGCG
rnacentral:rRNA from 1 species